rnacentral:lncRNA from 1 species
UAAAUCUUGUAGUUCAUUUUUUAGUGUUUGGCCCAAUUACCAAGCCCAUAACUCCUAGGUCCACACUCCUAACCUAAUCCUUGCACUUUUAACUCCUAAAUUAAAAAGAAGACCCUUAGAAAAUACAGAGCAAAGGGGACGACGCCUCUCUGCUAAAAAACAGAGACAAACGACCAUCUCCUCCCUUCCUCUUCAUCUUCUCCAACAUAGACCCCAAAAACCCAAAAGACCAAAACCAUUAGAGACCUUACCUGAUCAUCAGCGCCGCCGCAGAGACAGGGAGAUGACCCUCUUCUUCAACGCCAAAAACAAACCAACAGCUACCUGGUCAUUUUCAGCUCACUACUAAAAGAACAAUGAGAAGCCUUCCAUCUAAAACAAAGAAAAAAAAACAAACAGAGGAUCAGCGUGAAUUCCCUUCCCCUUUCUUCUUCCUUCCCUCUCACUCAAAACAAGGACCAGGAAUCGAACCCUCCCCUCCUGAUUUUCUUCUUCUUCAAUCGCAACAUACAAGCGAGAGAUGAAGUCCGAGAUUUCCGGCUCCAUUGCUAUGUCAGCUGUGUUGGUUCGCCGCUGAUUUCGAAGUGAUUCGCCUAGAUUUUGAAUUUUCUUCCACUGAUUCCGGACUGUUGUUUGCUGAACUUCAUUUCCCAUUCAAAUGUUAUUUUGUUUUGAUUGUUGUUAGGUAUGUUUUCUCCUCAAAUUAUUGUAAGAUCUGUUAAUAUGAAGCUAUGAUUUCUUUCUGAUACAUCUGCUGUCUACUGUAGGUUUGUCGAUCUUGGUUUAUUUUUAGUAUUGAAAUAAAUGUCGUCUGUGUUAAGAUGAAAUCACGGUUGUUCUAUGACACCCAUAUUGUUAUAGUUUUGAUUGUUGCAUGGCAGCAUCAGUAGAUUAAUCCCUUCUUAUUUAACUUUUAAUGUUAUGAAUUAAAUCUGAUAGUGCUAUCUAUUUUGUUUCAUUAUCAUAUUGGUGGACUUGAAAUAGUAUUGACCUAAAUGCAUAAUUUUAGUAGUAAUGAAUUAUGAGUGCUAAAACUAAUAGAAGCUCAUUGCUCGAUUAUUUACUCCUAUUUGUUGAGCUAUGUAUUUUAAGUUAAAAAUAUUUCCUGUUUUGGUAACGAUGAUUGAUAUGCUUUCUGUCUCACUAUUUAAUAUCAUUUACUAUCUUGUAAUUUUCAAGCCAAAGAGAUAAGAACCAAAAUGGAAGGUAUGAGUUUCGUUUCGUUUGGUCUGUCUUUUCCGGUCGUUUCAAUUGCUCUAGGCUCAGGAGGAGAUUCAUAUUUCAAAAUAUUACUACUUUGUGACUUUGAUUUGUGUAUUCCCUCCUCAUUGGCCCCAGUAGCCUGGAUGUUUGUUUCGAUCAGCGAUAUGGAUAAGAGUUUUGAAUUGUAUACAUUGAUUCGAGGUGUAAUUUUAAGUAGUUAUUGUAGGUUAUUACUCUACAUUGAUUGCUUUAGUUAAAUAAAUUUUCUUUUAAAAUAAAUGGAGGCGUGCCAUGUUGCAUAAAACCCCAAAACCCAUGGCCCUCAGUUAACUAAUUUUAACUCUUUAGAAAUUGAGGUGUGCCAUCAGUUGAAUUUUCCAAGGCCCUCGUGAACCUUGUUAUUAACUUGAAAGUGCGGAGUUGUUUUAGGAACGCUAUUUUAAAAAUUACCUUCUUAAACUCGGGUGUGCAUUUCAUGUGACCCAAAUCCAAUACUCAACAACGUUAAAUAAAAUGUGUCUCGGGUUGCGGAUGCAUUUCAUGUGGCGUGGUCCAAAGAUGCAUUUUAAAUAACGUUAAAUCUUUUCAAAAAUAAUUAAAAGCGGUUUAAUAAGUUAANNNNNNNNNNNNNNNNNAAAAUAAGUCAAACAUAAGAACACAUGAGAAGGACAUGUGAGGUAGAAAAGAGAACAUAAAAACAUAGCAUAGACAGAUUCACACAAAGAGAAGAAGAAGAGGAGUCAGAAAAUAUUUUAAAACCUUUUUAGAGACUCUAAAUCGAAGAGAAGAAAUUUUUGAAAGAAAAUUAGGGAAAACGUUUAAGAACUCAAGUAGAGCACAGACAUAGCAUAGAUAUAAGAAAACAACCAGAUAAAAACCUCAAAUAGUUUAAGGUUUCAGAGAAACUCUAGAAACGAGAAAAGCUUGGAAGAAGGUCCGAUCUUGAGUCGGAGAGGUCAUAAAUAGGCUUCUUAUGGUUGAAUACGCCGGAGCCAGGCCGGAGAGGCCAUAGAACCUUGGAUCUGUAGAGAUCUGAAAAGACACCAUCGAGGUCGGACCUCGAAACUUCGAACACCCAGGGUUUAAUGGUGGAGGAGGGUGAGUAUAGACCAUCCAUGGCCUGAGAAGCCAUGCGUUCUGGUGAGAUUGCGGUUGAAGGGGGUGAGAGAGGCUAGGGUUUCAGGAACCUUCGAGAGAGUUUGAAAGAAGGAGAGUAUUCAAAGGCGGCUGAGAUAUGAAAAUGAGGAGAUUAGGGUAGGGUUAGUGAAUUAUAAAAGGUAAGGGGUAAUUGUGGUCGUUGAUCUAAAUGAUCAACGGCUUGGAUUGAAAGAAAGGGUCAGGCGGGUUAAUUGGUUGGGUCGGGGAUCGGGUUAGAUUAGAAUUGGGCCGGUCCAAUUGGAUUUCAAAAUUGGGUCAAUUAGAGGGGGUCAAUUUGGCUAUGAUUGAAAUAAAAAUGGGCCAGAUUUUAAAUAGCCAGUUUUUCCCUUUUAUUUUAUAAAAAAAAUAGUAAAAUAAUUUUGAAAGUAAAUUAAGAGUACUGGAUCAGUUAAUAAUAUAUAAAUAUUGAUUUAAAAAUGUUGGAACCAAUUUUAUAAUUAUAAAAAUGCUAUUAAAUCUUAAAGUAGGCUAGAAUUGCAAUUAUAUGCAAUUUAGCUUUAAAAUUACCAAAUAAAUUUGUAAAAAUAUAUAAAAACUAUAUUAACUAUAUUUUGGUAUAAAUAUGGGAAAUAAAAUAAAUUAUCCACCAAAAUGAUAAUUUUAGAAAUAAUUAUUGGUUUUUAUACUGAUAAAAUGAGUAAUAAAUUGAUUUUAAAAAUCUUUAAAAAUUGAAAAAAAUAUUAAAACACUUGGGCAUGCUUAUAUAUGCGUACUUAUGUUAUUUGGAAGGUAUUUUGUAUAUAUGAAAAGAUAUACAGGGAAAAAUUGGGUAUCAACACAUGGCAGCCCAACAAUAAGCCAUGGUGACAUGCUCCCAUUUCCACUGGGGAAUCUCAAGUCGCUUAAGCAAACCACCCGGUCGUUGAUGCUCAUACUUCAUCUGCUGACAAUUUAGGCACCGAUCUACAUACUCCACUAUGUCUUUCUUAAUUUACCUCCACCAAUAGUGCUGCCACAAGUCCUGAUAUAUCUUAGCGGCACCCGGAUGAAUGGAGUACCAGGAACAAUGGGCCUCCUGAAGAAUCAACUCACGCAAAACAUCCAUAUUGGGCACAUAAAAUCAGCCAUGCAUCCGCAACGCACCGUCAUCCCUAAUAGUAACCUCCAUGGCAUCGCCAUGAUGAACCGUGUCCUUGAAGACAAGCAAAUGGGGGUCGUCAUACUGAUGCUCUCAGAUAUGAUCAUAUAUAGAAGACCGAGAAACCAUGCAGGAAAGAACUCGAUUGGGCUCCUAAACAUCCAAUCUAACAAAGUUGGCUAAGGCCUGAACAUCAAAUUCUUGGGGUCUAAUUUUUAACUUUUCAAAUUGUUCGUCAUUUGCACAUUCCUACAAAGAAUUAUUACCUUUUUACUGAAAGGUAAUAGAGCAACCAUGUAGCUAUAUGAUCCAUGCAUAUAUAGCUACACAACAUGUGUAGCUAAUUCCAACAAAUUUCCAAAGACCCAUGAAACCUUUAAAAAUUGGAUCAUGGAGAGAAGACAUAAAUCUUGGUAAAAUUUUGGGUUCUAGAGAGAAGGUGUAACAACCAGCUCACUAGUGAUAUUAAUUGAUUUUUUCUUCUAGCCCUCACAUUUUUAAAAUGUGUCACUAGAGAAUAAGGCUUGUUUUCUUAUAUACUAAGUAUCCCUCUCGUGUUUUGCCAAUGUAGAAUUCAUUUGGAAUUUCACAUAGAAUCCCCCUCUUUGGAAGUCGGCUAGCGUCUCUGAUGAGAAUUGCCUUACCACUUUCUAAAAAUAUUGGAUUUGCCUAAACUCAAUUGACCACUGCGGUUUUUUCUAUCAUUGGCCAAGGUUACACAUAAAGUGGCUCUGAUACGACAUCCAUUUAGAUUGAAGAGGGCACAAUUAAAUAUAAUGAUCUAUAUAAGUGAUAUUAAUUAGUUGAAGAUAUAUUUUAAUCAUCUUAGUACGUUUACUUCAGGUCCUAUAUAUGUUUUCUAUGAACAUUUUAAUCCUACCAUAAAUUAUUAUGUAAAUAUAAAAUAUAGAGAUUUUUUAGUACUUUUUAUUUUCUUUGUAUAAUGUUGGCUGAAUUCAAAUGGAAAAAUAUAAUUUGCAAGUAUAUUAACAUAAUUGUUAACUAUAUUAGAAGGACGAUAAGCUAGGAAGAGAAAUAAGGAUGAACAGAUACUCUACUGAUGGCAAUGUUGAGAGAGAAAAUAUGUAAAGCUAUUCUCAUGAAUCAAAUAUCUAAUGUGCAUAACUUUUACAUAUAUACGGUAGUUUUUCACUAUCUAAUCCAGCUGGCAUAUAUCGUCUGAAUGAAAAAGUAAGGUGGUUAACUUAAACUGUCUAACUAAUAGCUAACCAUAGUAAACUUAGAGCUGACUAGAGUUAAGGAACUCUAGUACAAUUUGUGAUCUCCUUUACUGUAAGGCCCCGUAAAAUUUCGCCAAGGAAUUUAAGAUUUUGUGGUACCGAGGUAGGCUAAUGUGUAUGAAGGUAGUAGUUAAGCUUGCCAUGGUACACACUUUUUGGGUUGAUGAAUGCACUUAGGAGUUUAUGAAAAUUUUUGGCAGAAAAAGGUGAUUCUGUGGUCAAGUUUGCGACAGCAAAACCGUUUCGCAGGCCGCAUAUCCAUCGCGGAGUUGAGCAGAAAAUUUGUUGAAUUUUGAAGGUCAUUUCUGCAGUUCAUUAUUGGACCGCAUAUCCAUUUCGCGGUUCGCACUUCCGUCGCAAAGUUAUCAUGAAGAAAUUUGGAGGGUGAUUCUGCGGUCCAUUUCGCGGCCGCAGAACUGGUAUACAGACUGCAGACCUGGCCGCAAACUGGAACAGGCCAGCCCAGUUUUUUGCCUAACUUUUGUGGUCCAUUCUGCGGGCCGUAUAUCUAUUCUGCGAUCUACUCUGCAACCGCAGAGUUGAGUUUAGAGGAUCCAUUUUCUAUUUUAUAACCCGACCCCAUUUUGAUUAAUUGUCUUUAGGGAUUAUUUUAAAGUAAAUAUCUGAUGUUUUAGAGAGAAGUGAGAGUAUCUUAGAGAGAGGGGGAGAAUACUCAGCCAUUAUAAUCAUCCAUCCUUGCCCAAUCUUGAAGAUUCAAGGGAAUCACUCACUAGGCCAUCACCUAUUCGGGUAAUACCUUGUUCUAUAACCUUCAUACAAUUGUUAUGGGUUUAAGCAUGUUAUGGAGUUGGAGAUAGGUCGUGCAUGUGAAAAUAUGUGGUAGCAUGUGGGAUUAUUGAACCAUUUUGGGUAGUUUCUUGUUGAAAUUGGUUGAGGGAGGAAUGCAUUACCAUUGUAGAGCUUUCUAGUCAAUUUUGCAUAGUAGGUGUUUGACAAAAUUCUCUAGAGAGUUUUACCAUGAGAAUCCUUCUAAUUAGUAUCCGAUUUUCGCUAUCUUCCUAUAGAUUGAUAUUUCUAGAAGUAUUGGGAUGUUGUAGUAACUUAAAAGGAAAUCUAGAUAAAGGUAUGUUGGCUAAACUUCUCUCGUAGAAUUGAAUUCCACGAUGUUCCCGUAAGUUUCAAGUAUGGUUGGCCAGGUUCCUAAUUUUCAUAUUCCGAGUCAUUCCUAAUAGAGUCGAUUAUCCGAAGUACGCAUUGUGUUGAAAGAUGUAUGUACUCAAAAUGUGUUUCAAUUGUUCCUAUCCUAUUAUGACCUCUUCGAGAAUGUGUUCAAGUAUGGUUUAUGUAUUAAAAUGCUAUGACUUCAAUUUCUGUUUCAAAUGAAGUCUAUUAUGCUUAACCUAGAAAGAAAAUUUAAUGUGCUUAAGACUCAUAUUGCUUAUAUCCACAAUUAAAGUCUUGGUCCCAAAUUCUCUUGUUGUUGAUACUCUACGAGGAUGCUUGAAAGUGAAAGAAGUGAACAUGAGAUCUAGAAUGUGGUCAUUGUGCCAAGAAUGAAAGCUAUACUUGGGGCCAAUAGUACCAAUGAAAUGAUGUAUGAAAGAUUAUAAAAUGAGCCUUGAUUCAACUGUUCCAAAUCGACUCCGAAAAAUAGAUUUGCCUAGAAGCUUAUGUACUCAAGUCAUGUUCAAAUGUGGUUGUUUUGAACUAAUGCCUAUGAUUCGAACCACUAUUGUUGUCAUAAAUAACCAUGUUAUGCUAAGUACUUCCAAUGUGUUUUGAGUUUAUACAUAUUCAUGAGUUAAAAUUGUGUAUUGCCCUUUUGGGGAAGAAUAUGACAAGAAUAAAUGGUGUGUCACUCGUUUAUGAUUUUUAACUUGUGCUUCGAUUUCCAAUUAUUUUUGCUCCAUUUCUGUGGAAAGAAAUCCAUUAUGUUUAAAGCAUUCAUUACUAAUGAACUUAGAGUUAUGAUUUUCAAAAUAUUCUAUAUGUUGAUAUUUAUGAUGAUGACCCUUGAAAGUAAAGAAAUCAAAAUGUGGAAUAUGAGAUAUGGAAAUCGUGCCAUGAAUGAAGAAUCAUAUGUAUGGCCAAGAGAGCAAAUGAAUUGAUGAUGUUAUGAGUGGUUGAAAGUACCAAUGAAGCUAUAAAUGGUGUGAAAGUGUACGAGGUGAAUAUAUUUGUAUUUCUGUUUCCUUUAUAAGGAAAAUAAACAUGUUUUUGGGAGUAUCGUUAGCCACCGAGGAAGGGUAGGUUGAAAUAACCCAAACCCGAAACUACAUGUGCCGGUGUAGGUGUGAUUGAGGGAUAAAUACUCAUACUGAUGUGAUAGAUUAUUUCCCUUAAUUGUAAUGAGAUUAUUCCCCUUAAUUGGGAUGAGAUGAUUGCUAGCGGAAUGUGAUGUCGACCCACACGACAUUGUGGUGAGACGGCUUAGCCGAUCGGGCUGAGAUCCGACGCCAUACUACGCACAUGGUGGUGUUGUGAUUGGAUAUCUCUGAUGAUAUGGCUUAGCCGAUCGGGCCGAGAUUGGACUCUGUGCUAAAAACACGAUGGUAUAUUAGUGCUAAAGAUCUCCUAACUUAAAAUUAAUAAUCUUUACUUGGAAAAAAAAAGGUUAUCUUCUUCUUAACUUGAUGCUUUUAUAUUGUUUGAGGCUCUUAUCGAUCAUAUGUUGUUUCCCCUUGUACUAUUACUAAAUUCUUUGAGCGGAUAUUUAGCCUUACAUACUAGUACUAUUCCAUAUAUACUAAAGUCCCUUUGUUGGGGGCGCUGCAACUUUAAUGGAUGCAGAUGGUUCGUCAGCGGGCAGCUUUGAUCCUCAUUAGCAGUUACCCUCUACUCAGAAAGUUUUGAUGAGCCCUAUUCUGUUCAAGGACUUAUGUCACUUGAUAUUGUACAAAGUGUUUUGAAGUAUAACCGGGUCUUAUCGCCGACACUUCCAUACAACUCUUCUGUCG